AUGAGGCCCAAGCAAACGGAAGGGAGCAGCAUACAAGCAGCAGCGUCGGCAACAACAGGUGGCAUCGAAAGAUCAUUUGGACUUAGCGGAGCUGAAGCUCCCGGUGGCGGCGACUUGGGCGGCCGCCAAUCUGAGAUGCCCAAGGAAGAUCAGAGGACAUCUAAGCAUGUCCCCAUUAAUUCUACCAUGAACAAAGAGGAGAAAUGGCUGGACAAAGUUCUAGAUCGGAUAUUGGAGAAGUUUGAACAAAUGGAGGCCAAGCGCAUGCAAGAGGAGAAGAUCAAUCGGAUAUUUCAAAAGUUGGAAGAGAUAGAGGUUCGUAGGAGCAAGGCUUCCGAGGAAAUAAUUGCAGCCAUGAGGGCAACCACCGCUGUUCUCAAGGCUACAUCACCUACAGCACCCAUGGCACCACCUACUCCAGUGCCUACCAAGUGUUUGACAGAAUGCCCCAACAACAACUUCACUUGGGCAACGGCGAGUUCAAGUCACAUUGGUGAGGAUACUGCUCUAACAGCUACCUGGGAGCUAGGAGACAACAAGGACAAGGGCCACGCCCCCUGCAUCGUCACUAAGGACUCACCCGAGGUCACGCCCACCAUGUGUUCAACGAAAUGCUCCGGUCCUACCAUCAAGCCCGAUCUCACUGUGGCUGUAGUGGUUACGUCCGCCACCACUGCCGCGGCCUCUAUGGAGUUGGUAGCCGCUAGGAACGCAAUCGGUGCCACUGACAUCAACAAUCUUGACCACCCCAAGGUGCCUAUGAAGUGUUCGAUGAAAUGUACUGAGAGUGACAAUAAGCCACUGAUGGAACACCCCAAGAAAAACCCAUGGCCACCUGCCUGGUCAGGAUGGAAGAAGUGGUAUAUGACCUGGACUGCAAUCAAUCAUCAUUGGAUGAGAUUCUAUUUCGUCCCACCCUGGCCUCCACCAAGUCUAGUAAGUUCUUUGGCAUGGGUGCAUUUUUGUAUUGGAGCUCUUAUACUUCAAAGGGUGGUUUUAUCAAAUGAAAUGGUUGAGUUGGAGCCCUGGCCUCCACCACAUGAAGCAAGUUUCAGAAUUUUGCCUUUCCAAACUAGUAGCAGGAAAUGUUACAAUUAUGUCACUGCUUUGAGUAUAAUUGCAUGGGAUGAGAAGAGGACAAGGAGUAGUAGAAUUAUUGACACUAGUUUUGAGGAAGGGACACAGGAAUGUUGGAAUCCAUAUCUAGCCUUGCCAAUCCCCAGCUAUUUCAGGACCAGAUUGCAAUGGAUGCCACCUUGGCUGCCAUUAGUUGGUUUGCUGGAAGCUAGAGUAGGGAAGGGUUGCACUACUGAUUUUGCUGCAAGUAUAAUUCCUUGGAAUGAGCAAAAGAAAAUGAUGACUAUUGAAACUUCCACUUGCUUUGAGCAGAAAAUGCACCAGUUUUGGGCUUUGAUUUUCCAGGGGAUGUUGCUCAACUACUACCCAACUAUAGUGGAGAAAUGGAAUAUGAGAAUAAUUUGCAUGGUGAUAUCAGAAUCUGAAUCAUGUUUGGAAUCAAAUUACAUUGGUUUGAAUGUUGAAAGAGAUUUCCUAUAUGUGAUUGCUGAAGAAAAAGGUUGCAAAAGGAUGAAAGGAAUGGAAGUAGACACUAAUUCAAUUCAUGAUGAGAAGUAUACUUUU
rnacentral:lncRNA from 1 species